rnacentral:tRNA from 1 species
GGAGGGUUGCGCUGAAUGGUAAGGCAGCGGUUUGCUAAACCGUGACGGUGUUAAAAGCCGUCUGUGGGUUCGACUCCCACACCCUCCG